UACAGAGGGUGCGAGCGUUAAUCGGAAUUACUGGGCGUAAAGCGCUCGUAGUCGGCUUUGCAAGUCGGGUGUGAAAUCCCCGGGCUCAACCUGGGAAUUGCGAUGGAGACUGCAAGGCUAGAAUCUGGCAGAGGGGGGUAGAAUUCCACGUGUAGCAGUGAAAUGCGUAGAGAUGUGGAGGAACACCGAUGGCGAAGGCAGCCCCCUGGGCUAACACUGACGCUCAUGCACGAAAGCGUGGGGAGCAAACAGG
rnacentral:rRNA from 1 species